rnacentral:rRNA from 1 species
AACGAACGCUGGCGGCAUGCCUAACACAUGCAAGUCGAACGAGAUCUUCGGAUCUAGUGGCGCACGGGUGCGUAACGCGUGGGAAUCUGCCCUUGGGUUCGGAAUAACAGUGAGAAAUUACUGCUAAUACCGGAUGAUGUCUUCAGACCAAAGAUUUAUCGCCCAAGGAUGAGCCCGCGUAGGAUUAGGUAGUUGGUGGGGUAAUGGCCUACCAAGCCGACGAUCCUUAGCUGGUCUGAGAGGAUGAUCAGCCACACUGGGACUGAGACACGGCCCAGACUCCUACGGGAGGCAGCAGUGGGGAAUAUUGGACAAUGGGCGAAAGCCUGAUCCAGCAAUGCCGCGUGAGUGAUGAAGGCCUUAGGGUUGUAAAGCUCUUUUACCAGGGAUGAUAAUGACAGUACCUGGAGAAUAAGCUCCGGCUAACUCCGUGCCAGCCGCCGCAGUAAGAC